rnacentral:rRNA from 1 species
CCUACGGGGGCUGCAGUGGGGAAUAUUGGACAAUGGGGGGAACCCUGAUCCAGCCAUGCCGCGUGUGUGAAGAAGGCCCUCGGGUUGUAAAGCACUUUCAGUGAGGAAGAAUGCCUGGUGGUUAAUACCCAUCAGGAAAGACAUCACUCACAGAAGAAGCACCGGCUAACUCCGUGCCAGCAGCCGCGGUAAUACGGAGGGUGCGAGCGUUAAUCGGAAUUACUGGGCGUAAAGCGCGCGUAGGUGGCUUGAUAAGCCGGUUGUGAAAGCCCCGGGCUCAACCUGGGAACGGCAUCCGGAACUGUCAAGCUAGAGUGCAGGAGAGGAAGGUAGAAUUCCCGGUGUAGCGGUGAAAUGCGUAGAGAUCGGGAGGAAUACCAGUGGCGAAGGCGGCCUUCUGGACUGACACUGACACUGAGGUGCGAAAGCGUGGGUAGCAAACAGGAUUAGAUACCCGUGUAGUC